ACAUUUUUCAUACCGAAAGUGAAGAUUAUCACGUCAUCCAUAUUGUAGAAAGUGUUUAAGUUUCAGUAUCAUUUAGAAAUGGCCGAAUCUAAACUGGAAAAUAUUUCAGGUUCCGAUGACAAAUUCCGUUGUCCUAUAUGUCUGGAGGAGGUAAGGAACCCCAAGUAUUUGCCAUGUUAUCAUACGUUUUGUAAAUCCUGUAUUCAGACCUACAUAUCAAGUACGGCGGUGUGUAGCGGUGAUAAUUCUCCUAAAACUAUGCAGUGUCCUGUCUGUAGGAAGUCUAUCCAAGCUCCAAGUGAUGACGCCUCCAGUGAAGAAUGGGCCUGUAGUUUACCCGAGGACAAGCUGAUUCUGAGUAUGUCUGUUGACUCGGAUAUAAGUAAAAAUCAGUAUUGCAUGUUUUGUCAGAGAAAUGAUAAAACUGUUCUAGCAAAACAUUGGUGUAAAACGUGUACGGAAACGAUUUGUGAUGAUUGCAAGUUCAUUCAUUCUUACGUGAGAGUACUACAGGAACAUAAAAUUGUAAGUCUCACAGAUAAAGUAGAUUUGAAAAAUGACGUAGAAAUAGAUGAACCAUGUUUGGUGCAUAAGGGGAAGUAUCUAGAGGUCUUCUGCAAGGACCAUGAUCAAUUAUGCUGCAGCAUAUGCUUUGCUACCAAGCAUAGAACUUGUAAACAGGUGGAGUCCAUUGAAGAUGUAGCAAAAGAGACCGAUGAAAGCUGUCAUAAAACAGCACCCGAGUUCUUCAAAGACUUUCUAAAGAAACUUGACGAUAUACAGAAUGAAUACAAGGAUACGCUUGCAAACCUCAGUACGAAAAAGCAAGACAUUUUUACAUGCACUGAAAAAAAGGUACAAGAAAUAAAGUCACUUCUAGACAAGGCUCACAACCAAUGGAUGAAGCAGUUUGAACAGAAGCAUUCUGACGCUGUUGGAAAUAUUGAAAUAGUGUCAGAUGAAGUGAAACGGCUUUCCAUAACAGUGCAAGAGGCAAACACCAUGCUCCAUAGGGUUCUAGAAAACGGAUCAACAAAGCAGAUCUUUGUCACUAGACACAAGGUACGCCAUCAAAUCUUGGAUCAUGUCAAACGUUUGCGUGAUUUGAAAAUCUGGGACAUUGUACACGAUUACACCCAACCGGAUACAGAUUUCCUUCGUCAAAUUCGUGAGGAUCAAAACUUUCAAUAUGUGGAGGUGCUUGAAAAAAAUUCAACAACCAUUGACACACUGAAAGAAUUUGCUUUUAAACUGCACAUCAGUGAUAUAUUGCCCAGACGAAAAUUCAUGGCUCAAAACGACUGGAUGUCGGUUAAAUUUGAAAAACUAUCUGGAAUUAAUCUACCGAAAAAGGCUUAUUAUGGCUUAUUUGUAGAUGACACAAAAGUACUUCUGUCCAUCGAAAAACCGCCAUCUUUACAAGUUUAUGAUAUAGCUGACUCUAACGCAAGAUGUGUUCUCAUUUACCCAUGUUCUACCACUCCGUUUGGCCUUUGUCACUCAGGAGAAAGCAUGAAUAAAGUAUUCGUUUCUUUUGAUACUCAUGUCGAUCAUUAUCAGAUCGAAAUCUCUGAUAGCGUGAAUUUGACGAAGAUGGAAACUAUUCAACUCAAAGGAUCAAUUAAAGAUUUUUAACGUGGUUCAUCAUUGAUGUUCGCAUGCAGCGAUACCGAGAAAAUGGUUUGUACAUCUGAUUUUUCAGUUAAACACACAUCAAAUAGUCGAAUGUCUGGAGAUCGUCCAUUUAUUUCGGCUUCAUUUCAUUCCGAUUAUCAUGCCAUCAUUAGAGGCAAUGAAGUUGUAAUUGCCGACCAAGACAAUAAGGAUGUUUUAACAAAGGCUAUACACACAGAUUAUCCACGUGGACUGGCAUUUGAUUUUCAAAACAAUAUUUUUAUUUGCGUGAUGAAGAACAAACUGAGACAGAUAAGAUGCGGAGGAGGUGAGAGUCGGGACAUUGAUUUACCAGAAAUAAAGUCUUCAUACAAUGUUGUACUUCACCCAACAGGGGAAAAAGUUCUUAUUCUGGACUAUUGUGGGAAAUUUUGUGUUUACAAAGUAUUGUGAAUGAACAUGAAAUAUUAUAAGCUACACCAUGUUAAAACUUACACUUGGGAUAUUGAUAUUAUAAGCUUAGUAAUAAUAUUUUUAAUACUUUUAGAUAUAUUUAUUAUCAGAUUGUUUAUCGAAAGACUUUAAGACUACUUGAGUAGGAUUGAGCAAUGCUAUAGUAUGGCGUUUUAACUACUAUAUUAUGCCUUGUUUGAUUGAUCUUUGUGAGUCUCUAUAUUCAAUUCAAUGAAGUUAAAAGCAUGUUUUAUUAUUUAAUUAUUAUUUUUACUACCAUAUAAAGUGUGCUCAUAAUCCU
rnacentral:misc_RNA from 1 species